GCGAACGCUGGCGGCAGGCCUAACACAUGCAAGUCGAACGAACUCUUCGGAGUUAGUGGCGGACGGGUGAGUAACACGUGGGAACGUGCCUUUAGGUUCGGAAUAACUCAGGGAAACUUGUGCUAAUACCGAAUGUGCCCUUCGGGGGAAAGAUUUAUCGCCUUUAGAGCGGCCCGCGUCUGAUUAGCUAGUUGGUGAGGUAAAGGCUCACCAAGGCGACGAUCAGUAGCUGGUCUGAGAGGAUGAUCAGCCACAUUGGGACUGAGACACGGCCCAAACUCCUACGGGAGGCAGCAGUGGGGAAUCUUGCGCAAUGGGCGAAAGCCUGACGCAGCCAUGCCGCGUGAAUGAUGAAGGUCUUAGGAUUGUAAAAUUCUUUCACCGGGGACGAUAAUGACGGUACCCGGAGAAGAAGCCCCGGCUAACUUCGUGCCAGCAGCCGCGGUAAUACGAAGGGGGCUAGCGUUGCUCGGAAUUACUGGGCGUAAAGGGAGCGUAGGCGGACAUUUAAGUCAGGGGUGAAAUCCCGGGGCUCAACCUCGGAAUUGCCUUUGAUACUGGGUGUCUUGAGUAUGAGAGAGGUGUGUGGAACUCCGAGUGUAGAGGUGAAAUUCGUAGAUAUUCGGAAGAACACCAGUGGCGAAGGCGACACACUGGCUCAUUACUGACGCUGAGGCUCGAAAGCGUGGGGAGCAAACAGGAUUAGAUACCCUGGUAGUCCACGCCGUAAACGAUGAUUGCUAGUUGUCGGGAUGCAUG
rnacentral:rRNA from 1 species